UACAGGUGGUGCAUGGUUGUCGUCAGCUCGUGUCGUGAGAUGUUGGGUUAAGUCCCGCAACGAGCGCAACCCUUGUCUUUAGUUACCAUCAUUAAGUUGGGGGACUCUAGAGAGACUGCCGGUGAUAAACCGGAGGAAGGUGGGGAUGACGUCAAAUCAUCAUGCCCCUUAUGGCCUGGGCUACAAACGUAAUACAAUGGCGUAUACAAAGGGAUGCGAAAGAGCGAUCUGGAGCAAAACUCAUAAAGUACGUCUCAGUUCGGAUUGAAGUCUGCAACUCGACUUCAUGAAGCUGGAAUCGCUAGUAAUCGCGGAUCAGCAUGCCGCGGUGAAUACGUUCUCGGGGUUU
rnacentral:rRNA from 1 species